rnacentral:other from 2 species
CAGGCUCGAGCCCGUACGAGAGCCGUCUCACCGUUUGACCCAACACAAACGGCUCGGGAGCUUUUGUCUUUCGAUCCUCUGGGAUCGCGAGCAGGGCGCCCACCUUCUUAUGAAGGGAUCAAAGCUAGAGGCGGUACCGGCGGGCUGGAGCCUCU